rnacentral:rRNA from 1 species
UAGGGAAUCUUCCACAAUGGGCGAAAGCCUGAUGGAGCAACGCCGCGUGUGUGAUGAAGGCUUUCGGGUCGUAAAGCACUGUUGUAUGGGAAGAACAGCUAGAAUAGGAAAUGAUUUUAGUUUGACGGUACCAUACCAGGAAGGGACGGCUAAAUACGUGCCAC